AGAGAAACGAGAUGCUCGUAAGAUCAACCAUGCCAACCUUCUUCUGAAUUUAGGGAAAUUUGAUGAAGAAAUGUCCACCUCUCGUGCUUUACCACGUGGAGUUCACACUCAGUGUAUCUUCAAAGACACUGUAGUUCAACCAAUUGCUAUAGAAUGCAGUGGGACCACCUUCCAGGUUAGAUGUAUUGCUUGGGGCUACCAAUAUUCACAACACAUCGAUCCUCAGUCCCUUAGACAGAUGAUGUGUGACCUGCAACAAUUCACCGAGAGCCUGUCCUAGAUGCUGGUCUGAGCCGAGUAAAAUGGAGCUGAUGAGAGGUCUCCAGAGCUGAACGCUGGAAGAUGCAUAGGCCCUGGCCGGGAAGAGGAACAGCUUGUCAAGCCCUGUGUGGAAUAGGAGUGGUGGGAUGAGGACUGUGUCAACCCUACUCUGAUGUAUGAAAUGAGACAACAGACCUAUGUAGGAAAGUGGCAGGAUUUGUGGUGAUAGACAGGGACUUUGCUGUUCAGUAUCCACUGUUAGAAGGCAGCCACACUUUCGAGAGAAUCUGAAUUCAGCAGACUGUUCAGAGAGUAAAGUCAUUCCUUCAGACAUGCACAGCUCUAUGUCACCACACUGUAAUUCGGGACAGUAUGAAGUCCUUGGAGGUUAAUGGGCACAGUGCCCGUUGUGUAGAUGUACCACAUUUUCUUUAUCCACUCUUCAGUUGAGAGAUGUCAAGUCGUUUCCAGGAGAUGCCCUUAGGUGAAAGGGGUGACACUGGAGACUGUGAUCAACAGGCGGAGGCUGAGCAAAUAUCUUCAAAUGGAUGGCAUGUUUGGAGAACUCUGCUUUAUUGCCAGUGCUAGCCCUACUUGAAUCGGAUUCAGCAGGACCAGCUGCAGAAGCUGGGUAGGAGCUACAGAAGCAGGUAUCAGCUUUCAUCGUCGCGCUAGGCAACCUAGAAGGUCCCAAGCCCACGGGACCUGGAUUGCGAGUGCUCUACAUCAUGGAGACCGCACAUAAACAUCGCCGAGUUAAAACGCAAUGUAUCACAUGGAACUUGGA